GGUUGUGGCUCAGAGGUAGAACACUCACCUAGCAUGUGUGAGGCCCUGGGUUCAAUACUCAGGAUCA
rnacentral:tRNA from 1 species